UCAGAUUGAACGCUGGCGGCAGGCCUAACACAUGCAAGUCGAGCGGUAACAGGGGUAGCUUGCUACCCGCUGACGAGCGGCGGACGGGUGAGUAACGCAUAGGAAUUUACCCGGUAGUGGGGGAUAACCUGGGGAAACCCAGGCUAAUACCGCAUACGUCCUACGGGAGAAAGGGGGCUUUGGCUCCCGCUAUCGGAUGAGCCUAUGCCGGAUUAGCUGGUUGGUGAGGUAAUGGCUCACCAAGGCGACGAUCCGUAGCUGGUCUGAGAGGAUGAUCAGCCACAUCGGGACUGAGACACGGCCCGAACUCCUACGGGAGGCAGCAGUGGGGAAUAUUGGACAAUGGGGGCAACCCUGAUCCAGCCAUGCCGCGUGUGUGAAGAAGGCCCUCGGGUUGUAAAGCACUUUCAGCGAGGAAGAACGCCUGUCGGUUAAUACCCG
rnacentral:rRNA from 1 species